ACCCUGAUGGUCUAGUGGUAUGAUCAUUCAGUAAUGUGACAAAAUGUUUAUCUCUGGCUGAAUGGAUGUGGGUUCGAAUCCCACUCAGGGCC